UACAGAGGUCUCAAGCGUUGUUCGGAUUCAUUGGGCGUAAAGGGUGCGUAGGUGGCAUGGUAAGUCGGAUGUGAAAUCCCCGGGCUCAACCCGGGAACUGCUUCUGAUACUGGCGGACUUGAGGCCAGUAGGGGUCACUAGAACUGACGGUGGAGCGGUGAAAUGCGUAGAUAUCGUCAGGAAUGCCGGUGGUGAAGACGGGUGACUGGGCUGGUUCUGACACUGAGGCACGAAAGCGUGGGGAGCGAACGGG
rnacentral:rRNA from 1 species